UAGGCCCUGAAUCAAGACCAGUGCUUGAUGUAGCUACUGGUUUCAAACAGGAGCCUAGAGUAAUAUCUUUCUUUGGUCUGUGGGUUAUUCAUUGUUGCAGUGAGAAUGGCCAUUUGUUGGGAAGAAACAUAG